rnacentral:rRNA from 1 species
CGCGUGGGAAUCUGCCCUGGGGUACGGAAUAACAGCGAGAAAUUGCUGCUAAUACCGUAUGAUGACGUAAGUCCAAAGAUUUAUCGCCCUGGGAUGAGCCCGCGUAGGAUUAGCUAGUUGGUGUGGUAAGAGCGCACCAAGGCGACGAUCCUUAGCUGGUCUGAGAGGAUGAUCAGCCACACUGGGACUGAGACACGGCCCAGACUCCUACGGGAGGCAGCAGUGGGGAAUAUUGGACAAUGGGCGAAAGCCUGAUCCAGCAAUGCCGCGUGAGUGAUGAAGGCCUUAGGGUUGUAAAGC